rnacentral:rRNA from 1 species
GACGAACGCUGGCGGCGUGCUUAACACAUGCCAGUCGAACGGAAAGGCCCUGCUUUUGUGGGGUGCUCGAGUGGCGAACGGGUGAGUAACACGUGAGUAACCUGCCCUUGACUUUGGGAUAACUUCAGGAAACUGGGGCUAAUACCGGAUAGGAGCUCCUGCUGCAUGGUGGGGGUUGGAAAGUUUCGGCGGUUGGGGAUGGACUCGCGGCUUAUCAGCUUGUUGGUGGGGUAGUGGCUUACCAAGGCUUUGACGGGUAGCCGGCCUGAGAGGGUGACCGGCCAAAUUGGGACUGAGAUACGGCCCAGACUCCUACGGGAGGCAGCAGUGGGGAAUAUUGCACAAUGGGCGGAAGCCUGAUGCAGCAACGCCGCGUGCGGGAUGACGGCCUUCGGGUUGUAAACCGCUUUCGCCUGUGACGAAGCGUGAGUGACGGUAAUGGGUAAAGAAGCACCGGCUAACUACGUG